UUGAAUUGAAGAGUUUGAUCAUGGCUCAGAUUGAACGCUGGCGGCAGGCUUAACACAUGCAAGUCGAACGGUAGCAGGAGAAAGCUUGCUUUCUUGCUGACGAGUGGCGGACGGGUGAGUAAUGCUUGGGAAUCUGGCUUAUGGAGGGGGAUAACUACGGGAAACUGUAGCUAAUACCGCGUAAUAUCUUCGGAUUAAAGACUGGGAACUUCGGUCCAGUUGCCAUAAGAUGAGCCCAAGUGGGAUUAGGUAGUUGGUGGGGUAAAGGCCUACCAAGCCUGCGAUCUCUAGCUGGUCUGAGAGGAUGGCCAGCCACACUGGAACUGAGACACGGUCCAGACUCCUACGGGAGGCAGCAGUGGGGAAUAUUGCACAAUGGGGGGAACCCUGAUGCAGCCAUGCCGCGUGAAUGAAGAAGGCCUUCGGGUUGUAAAGUUCUUUCGGUGAUGAGGAAGGGUGGUGUUUUAAUAGAGCAUCAUAUUGACGUUAGUCACAGAAGAAGCACCGGCUAACUCCGUGCCAGCAGCCGCGGUAAUACGGAGGGUGCGAGCGUUAAUCGGAAUAACUGGGCGUAAAGGGCACGCAGGCGGUUGUUUAAGUGAGAUGUGAAAGCCCCGAGCUUAACUUGGGAAUUGCAUUUCAGACUGGACGACUAGAGUACUUUAGGGAGGGGUAGAAUUCCAUGUGUAGCGGUGAAAUGCGUAGAGAUGUGGAGGAAUACCGAAGGCGAAGGCAGCCCCUUGGGAAUGUACUGACGCUCAUGUGCGAAAGCGUGGGGAGCAAACAGGAUUAGAUACCCUGGUAGUCCACGCUGUAAACGCUGUCGAUUUGGGGAUUGGGCUUUGAGCUUGGUGCCCGUAGUUAACGUGAUAAAUCGACCGCCUGGGGAGUACGGCCGCAAGGUUAAAACUCAAAUGAAUUGACGGGGGCCCGCACAAGCGGUGGAGCAUGUGGUUUAAUUCGAUGCAACGCGAAGAACCUUACCUACUCUUGACAUCCAUGGAAUCUUGUAGAGAUACGAGAGUGCCUUCGGGAACCAUGAGACAGGUGCUGCAUGGCUGUCGUCAGCUCGUGUUGUGAAAUGUUGGGUUAAGUCCCGCAACGAGCGCAACCCUUAUCCUUUGUUGCCAGCGAUUCGGUCGGGAACUCAAAGGAGACUGCCGGUGAUAAACCGGAGGAAGGUGGGGAUGACGUCAAGUCAUCAUGGCCCUUACGAGUAGGGCUACACACGUGCUACAAUGGUGCAUACAGAGGGCGGCGAAGCAGUAAUGCGGAGCGAAUCUCAGAAAGUGCAUCUAAGUCCGGAUUGGCGUCUGCAACUCGACGCCAUGAAGUCGGAAUCGCUAGUAAUCGCAAAUCAGAAUGUUGCGGUGAAUACGUUCCCGGGCCUUGUACACACCGCCCGUCACACCAUGGGAGUGGGUUGUACCAGAAGUAGAUAGCUUAACCGCAAGGGGGGCGUUUACCACGGUAUGAUUCAUGACUGGGGUGAAGUCGUAACAAGGUAACCGUAGGGGAACCUGCGGUUGGAUCACCUCCUUACC
rnacentral:rRNA from 1 species